CAGUGUCUUCCCGUUCAGUUCUGUCCCCCAUUAAAUUCUUCUGGUCUCAUGUGCCAUCUUUCAUCGAAGCCGUUGCCUGGGGAAUCUGCCUGGCUGGGCACAUGAUCAUCCCUCAGGUGAGCUCCGCAGUACUGAGGCUGUUUCCAUUGGGGGUGUUCAUGAGUAAGAUGCCCUUCCUCGUGGCAGCCUCCAGAUUCACAUUGUCCACGCCUGUACCAGCCUUGCCCACCAACUGGAGCUUCCCUGCUGCAUUGAUGGCAUCAGUGUCCGUUUCCAAGAGUUUGUCCUUUGGUAGCAAGCAGAGAACAUUUUUCAUUUCUAUGAUUUAAAUAAUCUGUACAGAUAUGAAACUUCAUGACAUUAUGCUUUAGUGUAAAAUGAAGGGCGAGCAUUUUCAUUCCAUGCUUUCUACUGUAUCCCUCUUUAUGUAUACAGAGUGUUCCCCAGUGAAGAACACAGUGCUGUCAUUUGCAGAGACUUAUCCUGUAUUACCUACUACAUUGUGUGUACGACUGUGAGGAUGGCACAGAGGAGACCUUGUGACCUCGGGUUACUGGUGUUUCAUGUAAUGAUCAAGACCUAGUGGAUUAAGUAAGGUUUGGUCAGCUGGAAAACAUGGUUCAGGCUAGACAGAAAGACACCAGCCUUAUGACCUUGUCUAU
rnacentral:lncRNA from 1 species